UAUCUCACAAGUGUCUGCCUUAUCAACUUUCGAUGGUAGUUUAUGUGCCUACCAUGGUUGUAACGGGUAACGGAGAAUAAGGGUUCGACUCCGGAGAGGGAGCCUGAGAAACGGCUACCACAUCCAAGGAAGGCAGCAGGCGCGCAAAUUACCCACUCUCGGCAUGAGGAGGUAGUGACGAAAAAUAACGAGACCGUUCUCUUUGAGGCCGGUUAUCGGAAUGGGUACAAUUUAAACCUGUUAACGAGGAUCUAUGAGAGGGCAAGUCUGGUGCCAGCAGCCGCGGUAAUUCCAGCUCUCAAAGUGUAUAUCGUCAUUGCUGCGGUUAAAAAGCUCGUAGUUGGAUCUGCGUCUUAGGACUUGGUCCAUCCGAUUGGAUGUGAACUAAGAACCUAGACUAAUAUUUAGCUAGUUUUACUGUAUGUUACCUUAAUUGGUUGCAUAUAGUGGCUGGCAUGUUUACCUUGAAAAAAUUAGAGUGCUUAACGCGGGCUUAUAAUGCUUGAAUACUCGUGCAUGGAAUAAUGAAAUAGGAUCUUGAUUGUUGUAUGCCUAUUUUGUUGGUUUAAAACAUCAAUACAAUUGAGAUAAUGGUUAAGAGGGACGGACGGGGGCAUUCGUAUCGCUGCGUGAGAGGUGAAAUUCUUGGACCGUAGCGAGACGCCCAACUGCGAAAGCAUUUGCCAAGAAUGUCUUCAUUAAUCAAGAACGAAAGUCAGAGGUUCGAAGGCGAUCAGAUACCGCCCUAGUUCUGACCGUAAACGAUACCAACUAGCGUUCCGUUGGCGGUAAAUACGCCUUGACGGGCAGCUUCCCGGAAACGAAAGUUUUUCGGUUCCGGGGGAAGUAUGGUUGCAAAGCUGAAACUUAAAGAAAUUGACGGAAGGGCACCACCAGGAGUGGAGCCUGCGGCUUAAUUUGACUCAACACGGGAAAACUCACCUGGCCCGGACACCGUGAGGAUUGACAGAUUGAAAGCUCUUUCAUGAUUCGGUGGUUGGUGGUGCAUGGCCGUUCUUAGUUGGUGGAGUGAUUUGUCUGGUUUAUUCCGAUAACGAGCGAGACUCUAGCCUACUAAAUAGUUUAUGCUGGAUAAAUGUAUUCGUACGCUAGUCCAGACAACUUCUUAGAGGGACAAGCGGUGUUUAGCCGCAUGAAGUUGAGCAAUAACAGGUCUGUGAUGCCCUUAGAUGUCCAGGGC
rnacentral:rRNA from 1 species